CUCAAAGGAAUUGACGGGGGCCCGCACAAGCGGUGGAGCAUGUGGUUUAAUUCGAUGCAACGCGAAGAACCUUACCUACCCUUGACAUGUCGCGAAUCUUUCAGAGAUGAGAGAGUGCCUUCGGGAGCGCGAACACAGGUGCUGCAUGGCUGUCGUCAGCUCGUGUCGUGGGAUGUUGGGUUAAGUCCCGUAACGAGCGCAACCCUUAUCCUUAGUUGCCAGCGGUUCGGCCGGGAACUCUAGGGAGACUGCCGGUGAUAAACCGGAGGAAGGUGGGGACGACGUCAAGUCAUCAUGGCCCUUAUGGGUAGGGCUACACACGUGCUACAAUGGUCGGUACAAAGGGCUGCGAACUCGCGAGAGCCAGCCAAUCCCAUAAAGCCGAUCGUAGUCCGGAUUGCAGUCUGCAACUCGACUGCAUGAAGUCGGAAUCGCUAGUAAUCGCGGAUCAGAAUGCCGCGGUGAAUACGUUCCCGGGCCUUGUACACACCGCCCGUCACACCAUGGGAGUGGGUUGCAAAAGAAGUAGGUAGUUUAACCUUCGGGAGGGCGCUUACCACUUUGUGAUUCAUGACUGGGGUGAAGUCGUAACAAGUAGCCCUAGGGAACCUGGGCUGGAUCACCUCCUUAAUAGACAGAACACGAUCUACGUACUCACACAAAUUAUUCGAUUAAAGACCACUGGUCUGUACUCAGUGGUUAAGCGACCCUGAUAAGGUGAGUCGGAGCCAAUCUCCAACCACACCCAUGG
rnacentral:rRNA from 1 species